CAGUAGCCGCGGUAAUACGUAGGGUGCAAGCGUUAAUCGGAAUUACUGGGCGUAAAGCGUGCGCAGGCGGUUUGUUAAGACAGAUGUGAAAUCUCCGGGCUCAACCUGGGAACUGCAUUUGUGACUGGCAAGCUAGAGUGUGGCAGAGGGGGGUGGAAUUCCGCGUGUAGCAGUGAAAUGCGUAGAUAUGCGGAGGAACACCGAUGGCGAAGGCAGCCCCCUGGGCCAACACUGACGCUCAUGCACGAAAGCGAGGGGAGCAAACAGGAUUAGAUACCCCCGUAGUCCCUGUCUCUUAUAC
rnacentral:rRNA from 1 species